rnacentral:rRNA from 1 species
GCAAGUCGAGCGGGGAACGGACGGUAGCUUGCUACUGUUUGUUUCUAGCGGCGGACGGGUGAGUAACGCGUGAGCAACCUGCCUUUAUCAGGGGGAUAACGCAUCGAAAGAUGUGCUAAUACCGCGUAAGACCACAGCUUCACAUGGAGCGGGGGUCAAAGGAGCAAUCCGGAUAAAGAUGGGCUCGCGUCCGAUUAGCUAGUUGGUGAGAUAACAGCCCACCAAGGCGACGAUCGGUAGCCGACCUGAGAGGGUGAUCGGCCACAUUGGAACUGAGAGACGGUCCAGACUCCUACGGGAGGCAGCAGUGGGGAAUAUUGGGCAAUGGGCGAAAGCCUGACCCAGCAACGCCGCGUGAGGGAAGAAGGGUUUCGGCUCGUAAACCUCUGUCCUAUGGGACGAAGGAAGUGACGGUACCAUAGGAGGAAGCCCCGGCUAACUACGUGCCAGCAGCCGCGGUAAUACGUAGGGGGCGAGCGUUGUCCGGAAUGAUUGGGCGUAAAGGGCGCGUAGGCGGCCUGCUAAGUCUGGAGUGAAAGUCCUGCUUUCAAGGUGGGAAUUGCUUUGGAUACUGGUGGGCUGGAGUGCAGGAGAGGAAAGCGGAAUUACCGGUGUAGCGGUGAAAUGCGUAGAGAUCGGUAGGAACACCAGUGGCGAAGGCGGCUUUCUGGACUGAAACUGACGCUGAGGCGCGAAAGCGUGGGGAGCAAACAGGAUUAGAUACCCUGGUAGUCCACGCGGUAAACGAUGAAUGCUAGGUGUAGGAGGUAUCGACCCCUUCUGUGCCGCAGUAAACACAAUAAGCAUUCCGCCUGGGGAGUACGG